AAAAGGGUGGUAAUGCCGGAUGCUCCGACAGGCCGCAUGUUGUUUCGGGAAAGAUUCAUGCGGUAUGGGAUGGGGUCGCGUCCUAUCAGCUUGAUGGCGGGGUAACGGCCCACCAUGGCUUCGACGGGUAGCCGGCCUGAGAGGGCGACCGGCCACAUUGGGACUGAGAUACGGCCCAGACUCCUACGGGAGGCAGCAGUGGGGAAUAUUGCACAAUGGGCGCAAGCCUGAUGCAGCGACGCCGCGUGCGGGAUGACGGCCUUCGGGUUGUAAACCGCUUUUGACUGGGAGCAAGCCCUUCGGGGUGAGUGUACCUUUCGAAUAAGCACCGGCUAACUACGUGCCAGCAGCCGCGGUAAUACGUAGGGUGCAAGCGUUAUCCGGAAUUAUUGGGCGUAAAGGGCUCGUAGGCGGUUCGUCGCGUCCGGUGUGAAAGUCCAUCGCUUAACGGUGGAUCCGCGCCGGGUACGGGCGGGCUUGAGUGCGGUAGGGGAGACUGGAAUUCCCGGUGUAACGGUGGAAUGUGUAGAUAUCGGAAAAGAACACCA
rnacentral:rRNA from 1 species